UACGAAGGGGGCUAGCGUUGUUCGGAAUUACUGGGCGUAAAGGGCUCGUAGGCGGCCAACUAAGUCAGACGUGAAAUCCCUCGGCUUAACCGGGGAACUGCGUCUGAUACUGGAUGGCUUGAGUUCGGGAGAGGGAUGCGGAAUUCCAGGUGUAGCGGUGAAAUGCGUAGAUAUCUGGAGGAACACCGGUGGCGAAGGCGGCAUCCUGGACCGACACUGACGCUGAGGAGCGAAAGCCAGGGGAGCAAACGGG
rnacentral:rRNA from 1 species